GACAAACGCUGGCGGCGUGCCUAAUACAUGCAAGUCGAGCGGACAGAAGGGAGCUUGCUCCCGGAAGUUAGCGGCGGACGGGUGAGUAACACGUGGGCAACCUACCCUGUAGAUCGGGAUAACAUCGAGAAAUCGGUGCUAAUACCGGAUAAUCAUUUGAAGUGCAUGCUUCGAAUGUAAAAGAUGGCUCCGGCUAUCACUACGGGAUGGGCCCGCGGCGCAUUAGCUAGUUGGUAAGGUAAUGGCUUACCAAGGCAACGAUGCGUAGCCGACCUGGGGGGGUGAUCGGCCACACUGGGACUGGAACACGGCCCAGACUCCUACGGGAGGCAGCAGUAGGGAAUCUUCCGCAAUGGACGAAAGUCUGACGGAGCAACGCCGCGUGAGUGAUGAAGGUUUUCGGAUCGUAAAGCUCUGUUGUUAGGGAAGAACAAGUGCCGUUUGAAUAAGGCGGCACCUUGACGGUACCUAACCAGAAAGCCACGGCUAACUGCGUGCCAGCCGCCGCCGUAACAC
rnacentral:rRNA from 1 species